AAAUAAAAUUUGUUGAUUUGCGGGGUUUUUAACCGCCGCUAUCCAUAAAAAAAAAUAGAGCGCGAAAUCAAUUUCAUGUUCCCUCAUUUUUUUUAAUUGUCCAAAACACACAUUUUUUCUUAAUCUAAUUUUUCCCCCAAGACCCUCUGAUUCUCCCCCAAAACUCUCUCAUUUCUUUCCCCAAACACACAACUCUCUGAUUCUCCCCUCAAAAUAAAAUCAACUCUCUGAUCUUGAUUUCUUCUUUGAGAAUAGAUUUUAUCUUAUAAGUGAAUUCUAAUUUUGUUUCUAUCAUCUUGUAGAUGGAUCUUAAGCUUAAUUUUUGACUGAUUUUGGUGUGGAUUGCAGAAACAAGGACUGUUUUUCAUCCCAUCAAGUUUAAGCUGCCUACUCAGGGGCAAAGCAGGCUAAGGGAGAACCUCUUUAGAUUUUGUCGAACCCCAAGAACCGUAAGACUCUUGAUGAGGAAUUCAGAUAUCGGUAUCAUUGUUGGUAACAAGGAACGUGGUUACAUCAUGUUAUCUUUGUAUAUCCUGGUGUAAUCAAUUUUCUGUACAUGGAUGGGGCUAUACUAAUUCCCUGCAGCUCACUGUAGUAAAAAUAUCUCAGAGUUUUCUUGAGGAGAGUCGCCAACUGAUGUGGCCAGUGGACCCAUUUUUCCCAUGAAUGCAAGAAGAUCAUAUGAUAGAAGUGAUCAUAAUGACAAUCAUUGAUUUAAUAGCAAAUUGUCUUGGAUAUUCAAUCAUGACAAUGUAAUUGUGUGGUAGGAAUGAAUCUUAAAAUAUUGAGGGUUUUGUUUUUAAAUUUGAUUUUGAAGUUUGAAUGGUUAAUGUUGAAAAUUUGGAGUUUGAAGAUGUGUUAGUUAAUAUUGAAAAUUUAAUUUCGAAGUUUAAUGAUCAAUGUCUUUUUUA